CAGGAUGAACGCUAGCGACAGGCCUAACACAUGCAAGUCGAGGGGCAGCACAAGGAGCAAUCUGAGGUGGCGACCGGCGCACGGGUGAGUAACACGUAUGCAACCUGCCUGUAAGCGGGGAAUAACCCGUUGAAAGACGGACUAAUACCGCAUAAUACUAAAUUACUGCAUGGUAAUUUAUUUAAACAUUUAUGGCUUACAGAUGGGCAUGCGCAUGAUUAGCUAGUUGGAGAGGUAACGGCUCCCCAAGGCAACGAUCAUUAGGGGUUCUGAGAGGAAGGUCCCCCACACUGGUACUGAGACACGGACCAGACUCCUACGGGAGGCAGCAGUGAGGAAUAUUGGUCAAUGGACGAGAGUCUGAACCAGCCAAGUCGCGUGCAGGAAGAAUGUUCCCUAUGGAUUGUAAACUGCUUUUGCGAGGGGAACAAAGUGCAUCACGUGUGAUGUUUUGUAUGUACUCUGCGAAUAAGGAUCGGCUAACUCCGUGCCAGCCGCCGC
rnacentral:rRNA from 1 species